rnacentral:rRNA from 1 species
AACACGUGGGUAACCUGCCCAUUAGAGGGGGAUAACAUUCGGAAACGGAUGCUAAUACCGCAUAGUUUCAGGAAUCGCAUGAUUCUUGAAGGAAAGGUGGCUUCGGCUGCCACUAAUGGAUGGACCCGCGGCGUAUUAGCUAGUUGGUGAGGUAAUGGCUCACCAAGGCAAUGAUACGUAGCCGACCUGAGAGGGUGAUCGGCCACACUGGGACUGAGACACGGCCCAGACUCCUACGGGAGGCAGCAGUAGGGAAUCUUCCGCAAUGGACGAAAGUCUGAUGGAGCAACGCCGCGUGAGUGAAGAAGGUUUUCGGAUCGUAAAACUCUGUCGUUAAAGAAGAACAAGGAUGAGAGUAACUGCUCAUCCCCUGACGGUAUUUAACCAGAAAGCCACGGCUAACUACGUGCCAGCAGCCGCGGUAAUACGUAGGUGGCAAGCGUUGUCCGGAUUUAUUGGGCGUAAAGCGAGCGCAGGCGGUUCUUUAAGUCUGAUGUGAAAGCCCCCGGCUCAACCGGGGAGGGUCAUUGGAAACUGGAGAACUUGAGUGCAGAAGAGGAGAGUGGAAUUCCACGUGUAGCGGUGAAAUGCGUAGAUAUGUGGAGGAACACCAGUG